rnacentral:tRNA from 1 species
GGGAAGGUGGCUCAGUGGUAGAGCGCUUGCCUUGCAUGCAUAAAGCCCUGGGUUCGAUUCCUCAGCACCCCA